rnacentral:lncRNA from 1 species
AUGCAGUCCCCUGGGGUGAUGCUCCCCACCUUACACCUUUGCAGGCUGGAUCAGCACCUGCCUCACAGGGUCGCCGUGGAGACAGUCGUGGGCAGAGCACGGUGGCUGGCCUAUGGCGAAUGCUACGGAAAGCAGCUGAUUUCGUUUUCUGCGUUGCUGCCAACAGGUAUUCACUUCACAAACACACCGCUCUGUGGUAGAACCUUGUGGUGCCCCACGAGUGCCCCAGCUGUAUGUUGGCUGCUAAAUAGCUGCUCCCUUCUCUAGAGAACUCCACCGAAGGGCACCACAUCACCUGGAAAUGACGAGAAAGUUGCCCCCACUGACUUGUACAGCUACGAGAGCCUGGCCCCCUUAUAUGUGACAGGACAACUUUGUGCUGCUGUUCACGUUCCAGAACUCUCUGUGGGAUCAGCCUGAGGCCAGACUUCAACUGAAGCCACAUUUUUGCUUAGCAUCUACCUUACCUAGUCUUCCUCCCUUCCCUGCAGAUUCCUCCUGAGAGCGCUUCCUCCGACGGUGGCUUGCUGGCCCCGGACACUGCUUCUCGGGGCCCUGUCCUAGGUGGCCACCAUUGCCAGGCUCCGGUGAUACCACAGUGAAGAAGCAGUGGCCCCUGCCCCACGGAGCCUGUAUUCUAUAGGGGAGGUGUGACCAGCAAAGAGACUAUCAGAGUAAGAAACUCCACGGAGGUUAGCUCUGAGGCAGCGUGAGAGCUCGUAGGCUGGCCCCCAUGGCAGGAAAGGGGCUUUCAGGAGGAAGAGACACCUAUGCCAGGACCUCCCGGGCCAGUAGGCAUUAGCCAGCAAAGCAGUAAUAAAGGCUGUGCUGGGAGGAGACAGGCCCAGGGAGGGGGCUGGGAACAUUUGAAUGGCGUGAAGAUUUGAAUGGUGGCCCAGUAAGCAAGGAGAGCAUUUGCCAGCUCUAGAGUUGCCCAUCAUCCUUUCCUCCAAGACCGCAGAGGUGACCCCUGAGCAGAGUCAUGGCAACACAGCGGGCACUCCCUGAGGCUGUCCCCUGGGAGUACUCUGUCAGGGGAAGGUAGGUGCGGUGACCUUCACACAGUGAUCCCUUCCCAGGCACUUCCUCCCCAGGGCUCUGACCACAGUGAACCUCUGCCCUCCUUCCCACCUGCUGCAGAAAGACUCACAAGGUGCAAAUGCUAUGUGAUUCCACUUAUAGGAGGCCCUGGAGCAGUCAGAUUCCGAGAGACGGAGAGCAGGACCGGUGAUGCGGGAUGGGGUGGGGGUUGCCAGGAGCUGGGAACAGGGGAUGGGGAUUUGGUUUCAUGGGGACAGUUUCAGUUGGGGUCGAUGGUCAAGUCCUGGAGAUGGAUGGUGGUGAUGGUUGCACAACAGUGGGAAUGUACUUAAUGCCACUGAACUGUUCGCUUAAAAGUGACUAAAAUGGUAGGUUUCGUCUUAUGUAUAUUUAACCACAACAAUCAUGAUAAAAAGAAUAAGGCUGUUGUCUCAAUCUACACUCUGGGUAUUGAGUGAUGUUGCUUCUUACAGUAUAAGACUAAGAAGUUACUUGAGACCUUUCUUUUUUUUUUUUGAGAUACGUUUUUAAAGACCUCAUUUGUUAUCAGAAAGUAGAUGAGGAAAUCAUUGGAUCUCCCCAGUCAUGUGGUUAGUUCUGACAACCCCGGGCUGCUUCUGUCAUGAUUCAUUCCCCCCGAUAAAACCCAUUCUGGUGAUCUAAAUCUCCUCCACUGCCACCUUUCUAGAAUUGCACCGAAGGUGAUUAAGACAAAUACUAACAGUGAUCCCUAU